GACAACGCAGCCGAGGGCCACCACAGCGGGGACAGGAGAUCCCGGGGAUGGGGACACGGUGACAACGCGGCCCAGGGCCACCACGGCCCCUCCGGAGAGCGGGGACAGCGCGGGGACAGCGGCGGGGAACGGGACACGGAUUUCCGGGGGUGUCCCCGCCCGUUUUUGGUCUCCCGCCAUCUUUGUGGCGCUGGCCCUGCUCGUGCUCUUCGUCGCCUACCGGAGGAACAAGGGCAAAGGGAGUCGGGAUUGGGCCACGAGCGGCAGCGACUCCUCAGAUUUGGGGGCGCUGGUCCAGCCCCAAAUCCAGGGGGGCACCGACCCCAAAACCCCGACCCUACAGAGGGUUCGGAAGGACCCCGAGACCGACAGGGAUCCGGAACAUUCCGAGACCGCCUUCGGCCAGCCAGAGCCAACCCCGACCCCAA